GACGAGGUUGGAACCCUUAACAUCGCAAGAAGGUAGCAUAACAUCUAUCUAUAUAUAUUAUAGCAGAACAGGUAGAUGCAAAACCUGGCUCCUGAGCAAAAAAAAUAGCGCCAAACCUAUUUCCGAGCCUGGCCCUGUCUGAGAUAAAAAAAAAAAAAAAAGGCGCCAAGCCUACCUCCGAGCCUGGCACUGUGUUCUUUCUAGACUAAACUUGGUUCCAGCUGGUUUCUUCAAUCCCCUCCUGUUCUCCGCUUAAUCUAGCUGCUAUUUUCUCCAGUGGCGUAGCGUUUUCCUCUACUCUAUGUCCCGUCUGUCAGUUCCACCUUCUCCGUCGCGCUAUCUCCGUCUGUCCCUCCUUUUUUGCUUCUACAUCUCUGGUUCGGUUUCGUUGGCCGUUUUCUUCACACGGGAUCUCGUUUCGUUCCGCCGGAAGAGGCAAUUGAGUUGGUGCUCUGGCACAACAAAUGGCUUAAUUGAGUGGUGAGAUCUGGGCUGAGAAAGCAUUCUUAAACAAGAUAGCUCGCCGCACCCUGCAUUUUAAGGUUGGACUGAGCUUGCAUUUGCCUGGCUGGUUUAUUGUUUUUGACGUCUCAGUGCCGGAUGCUAAUCCUUUCUGCAAGGGAAUUUGUAUAAAACUAUUGGAGGCUCGAUACAGACCUAUCACAUUUCAAAUUGGCCGCGUAAGUCACCCUUACAGAUUUAUGGAACAACAGGCGAGAAAAAGAGGGUGGCCAAGGCUCCUUGUCACCGCAGAUGUGGUGGAGCGGAGAAAGAGUUCCAAGCGGUUACAAAAUGCCAAACGCGGUUGCAUACAAGUUUAGGAGAAGAGGCAUCACAGAGUGGGUGUUCCGUCGAUUCUCCAAACAUAAAUGAAUCUCCUGCUGCCGGACCUUCAAAUGCGAGCAGCUGUCAACACUUAAAUGAUGCUUCUGUGAUGGGGCAUGCAAAUGCAAAAGAAACCAGUAUAGGGAAAGUAUGAGAGAGAAUAUAUGAAGUCAGAAGAGUUCCAGAAUCAAUUGAAGUGGAUUGUUCAGGAACUUCUAGCAGACCAGGAAUGGAGGCGCAGGAAAAUACAGAUGAGGGUAUGCUGGAUAUUAAGGUUCUUAUGUUUGGGUUGGUACCUUCUUUGUUCAUAAGGUAAACUUUCUUCCCUUUGAUGCCUGCAUAGAUAUCAGAAGAGGAAGGUAGAUAACAGAAUAAUGAGAAAGAAACAAAAGUAAUGUGGAAAGGAAAGCGGGAGCACGAGGAACAGUGGGAAGGAACAAGCGAAGAUAGGGUUUGUCCCUCUUCAUACAGUUGUGAUUAUGGACUUCUAGCUUGUGAAUUAUUGCUAAAAAAUAGGCAAAAUUUAUUAAUUGGUUCGUGAUAUUUAUCAUCAAUUACGCUCGGUGAGCACGAGAAGUAACAUAGGUGACUAUAUAGUAUAUACUUGACCCGCGCUUGAAUGAGUUUCAGGCCGAGUCUAAGACUUGGCAGUGAUUAGCAAGACUGAGUUGAUCUGUCCAAAUUGGUGAGAAAUUGCAUAUUCUUA